UUAUCAAAAACAUGUCUUUUUGAGUUAUUUUUAAAGUCUGACCUGCCCACUGAAUUUUUUAAAUGGCCGCAGUAUUCUAACUGUGCAAAGGUAGCAUAAUCAUUAGUCUUUUAAUUGAAGGCUGGUAUGAACGGUUGGACGAGGUAUAAGCUGUUUCAUAUAAAUUUAUAAUAGAAUUUUAUAUUUUAGUCAAAAAGCUAAAAUAUUAUUAAAAGACGAGAAGACCCUAUAAAUCUUUAUAUUUUUUUUUAUUUAAAUUUUUUGGGUUUAUUUUAUUUUUAUAAUAGAAAAUAUUUUGUUGGGGUGAUGUUAAAAUUUAAUGAACUUUUAAUUAUAUAAAAUCAUUAAUUUAUGAGUUAUUGAUCCAUUAGUAGUGAUUAUAAGAUUAAGUUACUUUAGGGAUAACAGCGUAAUUUUUUUGGAGAGUUCAUAUCGAUAAAAAAGUUUGCGACCUCGAUGUUGGAUUAAGAUAUAAUUUUAGGUGUAGCCGCUUAAAUGUUAAGUCUGUUCGACUUUUAAAUUCUUACGUGAUCUGAGUUC
rnacentral:rRNA from 1 species